CCCCCCCCCCAGACAGGUAAUUGCUAAUGGCUCUGUUAUAGUGUGGACUUGUUAUUGAGUUGACCCAGUAAAAGUGCCCAGGAAAGUGAGAGGUGACACACAGAAGCUUCUUUCACGUCACUUGGUUUCAGUCUGGCCAUGACGGCUCUACUCUCAUCCGUGGAUCAGUCUUGUCUGUCUUGUGUGCAGACGAAGAGGAAGCUCACAGGCCAGGCUGGCUAUGUGGUUGUGCUUGAGGUUCACUAACUGUAACUCUCCCCUAUGAGCUGUAAUGAAACUGAGUCCAAAGUGCAUUUGGAUAUUUUUUUAACUCAAUUGAAAUGCUAAGUCAGAACACUUACUGCACACUGGAGUAGGUUUGAUACCAUUAUUAGAUAUAGUGUAUAGAAGAUAACAUCUACCUUUCUUAGUUGUCCCUCUCUUUCUUUCACACUCACUCACUCUUUCUCAUCUCACGGUAGAAACCCAGCUCUGAAUGCAGCCCGCUGUGGUUUUCUGCAGAGGCUCAGUGUGUCUCUUCUGUCCCAACCAGACCCUGCAGCCAGCAUCCUCCCACAAGGCUGCUCUCUGACUCCACGGUGUUCUCCUGUGUGGGGACUCUGCUGUGCUCGGUGCAGGAGCAGGGAGACUCGGCCCUGCCUCCCUGUGUGCUCAGGUCUGCCCUCUACCUGCUGUCUGUCACACAGGACAAGAGCCCCGACCUGGACUGGCCGUGGGCCCUCUCCCUCUGGCUCUGUGGUUGCUGUGCCUGAUGCAGACCAGUGGCUCUACUGA
rnacentral:lncRNA from 13 species